rnacentral:rRNA from 1 species
AUUGAACGCUGGCGGCAUGCCUUACACAUGCAAGUCGAACGGUAACAGGUCUUCGGAUGCUGACGAGUGGCGAACGGGUGAGUAAUACAUCGGAACGUGCCCGAGAGUGGGGGAUAACGAAGCGAAAGCUUUGCUAAUACCGCAUACGAUCUCAGGAUGAAAGCAGGGGACCGCAAGGCCUUGCGCUCACGGAGCGGCCGAUGGCAGAUUAGGUAGUUGGUGGGAUAAAAGCUUACCAAGCCGACGAUCUGUAGCUGGUCUGAGAGGACGACCAGCCAGACUGGGACUGAGACACGGCCCAGAGUACUACGGGAGGCAGCAGUGGGGAAUUGUGGACAAUGGGCGCAAGCCUGAUCCAGCCAUGCCGCGUGCAGGAUGAAGGCCUUCGGGUUGUAAACUGCUUUUGUACGGAAUGAAAAGACUCCUUCUAAUAAAGGGGGUCCAUGACGGUACCGUGAGAAUAAGCACCGGCUAACUACGUGCCAGCCGCCGCCGUAAUAC